UACAGAGGGUGCAAGCGUUAAUCGGAAUUAUUGGGCGUAAAGCGCACGUAGGUGGAAUCGUAAGUUUGAUGUGAAAGCCCCGGGCUUAACCUGGGAAUUGCGUUGAAAACUGCGGAACUAGAGUCGGACAGAGGGUAGUGGAAUUUCCGGUGUAGCGGUGAAAUGCGUAGAGAUCGGAAAGAACACCAGUGGCGAAGGCGGCUACCUGGGUCCAGACUGACACUGAGGUGCGAAAGCAUGGGGAGCAAACAGG
rnacentral:rRNA from 1 species